GCAACCAUGCUCAGAACAGCAGUGACUAGCAGCUGCUGGAAUUACAGAAGGGAGACAAAAGCUUUCAACCCUCUACUGCACGUGAUAUUACUUUAUAGUAAUUUAUCUUAGUCCAGGUGCAGUGCCUCACACCUGUAAUCCCAGCACUUUGGAAGGCUGAGCUGGGAGGAUUGCUUGAGGCUGGCAGUUCAAGACUUCUUCCAUUUUAAGGGGCCUUGUGAUUACAGCUGGUCCAUCUGGAUAUUCUAAGAUAUUCUCCCUAUUUUAAGGAGAGAAAUCUGAAAUCUGAGGUGCAGUUGAUUUGAAUCCAGGAAAUCUAAGGAAAAAGUUCAAGCUCUUAAUCAUUUCAUACCCUUCUUGUUGCUAACUUAAACUUUUUUUUUAAAAAAGUUAAUCUUGUCUAUGAAGCAUGAAUCUAUAAUACUAGGGAAAAAACUGGCUAACUUGAAGAAAAAAUAAAUUGAAAUGAAAAGCAAUUAAUUCCUCUUAAUAUGAAUAAAGGAUGAUCUAAAUGCUUUUUGAGAAAUGAUUUCAAGUAAUGAAAUUUACAGGAAAAAAAAUCCUCUUUUCUGAAUAAGCAAUCAUGGUAUUAAUCCUAAGUUCUUUAAUCUUUAUAUUUACAUUUGUUCUUAAAGCUUGGUGUUUUCUACCAAAACCAUCUGUGUAUCUCUGUCUAUCUUCACGUGUUCUUUCUGUAUACAUUCAUGCAUGCGCACACACACAGAGAUUUCAUUAUUUAUUCAUAAAAUAGUUGAAAAUCACUGCUUUGGCCCUUUUAACUGUAUAUAAAUCUCUCAGUUCUCUAGUGCUUGGAAAGGAAGUAUUUAUUUUAUUUUAUUUUUAUUUUAUUUAUUUUGAGAUAGAGUCUCACUCUGUCGCCCAGGCUGGAGUGCAGUGGUGCAAUCCUGGCUCACUGCAGCCUUAAUCUCCAAGGCUCAAGCUGUCCUCCCACCUCAGCUUCCCUCGUAGCUGGGACCACAGGCAUGCCACCACACCCAGCUAAUUUUUGUGUUUUUUUGGAGAGAUGGGGUUUCCUCAUGUUGCCCACGGUGGUCUGGAACUCCUGGGUUCAAGUGACUGGCCCUACCUUGGCCUCCCAAAGUUCUAUGAUUAGAGGCGUGAGUCACCCUCCCUCGCCAGGAAGUAUGACAAACAGAAUGAGCCUGCAACCAGAGUCUUUGAUUCAAACCCUUGCCCACCAUUCACUGACUGUUUGAGCCUCAGUAUCUUUAUGUGGAACAUGAGGUCUAUAACAGAACUUAACAAACAGGAGAUAAUUAUUAAUGAGAUUAAAUGCAAUGAGGAAUGUCAGUGGUACCCUCUCUGUAGAGGAACUUAAGGAGUUGAGCCUCCAAGCUUCUUUCUUGAUAUGCUGAUGAAAGACAUAGCCUAGUUUAUGGUGGGUGCUGCUUAAAUUCCAGCCCUCUCUCUUUCAGUCAACAGGCUUGGACUCAAAAUAAGCCCCAUUCAGGCUGAUUUGCCUGCCUAUAUCAGUCACAAACUGCACCUCUUGCAAAAACAGCUUUCCCUCCAAUGUGUACUGGCCUUGAAGAAGACUGAGAUAUAGGGAAACAAAGAUCUUUAAAAUCAAGUUACUGAAAGGUCACUGAAAUAAUAUACAGUGAAAGAUGGAUGAUGCCAUCAUUGUAUAAAUAAAGUCAGUACAACCAUUAAAGAACUUACAAGUAUGGGUUUUUUCUUCUCUAUGGUUAUGAUCAUGGAUAGAAUAAUUUUGAUAUGACCAUGAUUAUAUUAUAUCUGGAUGGUUUAGAUGUCUUUCAGAAAAUUAAUAUUUAUUCUUUGGCAUUAUAUAAUUUCUUAAAUAAACAUGAAGAGAGAAAUGUUUUGAAUAACAAUUCUCUAGUCCUAAAUUUUCUAUACUUAGCAUGUAUUGUUUCUUUUUUAAUAACUUACAACAACUUUAUUUUAAAAUUAGUUUAGGCAAUGUUUUUUGAAAUGGCUUCUUUGAAGUCGCUUCUUGGAAUGAUUAUAGCCAUUGUGUAAAGCCAGCAAUAAAAGAAGGAUUUGAAAGUAGAGAGUAGAACAGUAGUUACCAAGGGCUGGAGGCAGGGGUAGAGGAGAUAUUGAUCAAAGGACACAAAAUUUCAUUUAGGAGGAAUAAGUUAAAGAGACGCACUGUCACAUGGUGACUACAGUUAAUAACAAUGUGUUGUGUUAUUGAAAAUCCAUGAGGGUAGAUUUUAAGUGUUCUGACCACAAAAAAAAGCAUGUGAGGUAACACAUACAUUAAUUAGCUCUAUGUAGCCAUUCUAUAAUGUAUACAUGUUUCAAAACAACAUGUACACAAUAAAUAUAUAUGAUUUUUUAUUUGCUAGUUAAGAAAAGCGUUUGACACUUCAAAAAAUAAAAUACUUUUGGCAUAUGAAGAGUCAUUUACAAUCACGCCCCAGACUUUGUUGUUAAUAUUAGCAGGGAUAGUCAUUGCUUAUAAGGUCUUCACAUGCUUAUAAAAGAAGUUUCACUAAAUCUAGUUAGCAUUGAGAAGUGUUGACAAGAAGAGUUGAAAAUAAACCUCAAGACAACUUUCUGAUUUAAAAUUCUAUUUCUUGGUGUGUGAAUGUUAUUUUUGAGGAAACAUACACUUUAUUGCAACAUAAUAAAUAAAUGAGAAAAUAAGACAAUGUUAUUUUACCCAAUAUAGCAGGGUGGUCUUUAAAUAAGUGCAUAAAUAGCCCAUGAGAUAGUUUGAAGCUUUCAGCUUUGUCACCCUGUUGGUCUAGUCAAAUGACUCACAUAUUAGCAAUUUGUUUGCAAAACAUCUUCUUCUUAUAGUUUCCAUUGGAUUACAUAAGAUUGUUUUAUCCUGAUAGAUAAUCUGGACUUUCUUCACCAAAAGAAGGUUAAUAUUCCUACAAAUUUUAAACCAAAACAUUAAAUUUUAUACUGAAAAUACAUCUUCCUUGAGGUCAAGACUGUAGGGGAAGGCAGAUUUUUGGUGUCCUUAUCCAAAUGAUAGCCUUGCAAACCAGGCUGUUUUCAUGAGAGGAUUUUCUUACUUUAUUUAAAUCUUCUCUGAGCGUAACAGGAAAUAAAUCUGGAGACUCCAGCUUCUGGAGCUUUUCCACAAAGAAGAUAAUCUUUCUGAUUUAAAGACACAAUAAACCCUUCUUUCUCCAUGUUCUUCAAAAUCCAUAGAGCUCAAAUAACCACUUCUUUUCAUUCGCUAUAGAACAGCAUUAUUUCCAAAAUUGCAUUUAAAUCAUCUACAUACAGAAGGUUAAAUUUGUUUAAAAAUGAAUAAUUACAUUCAUUUCUUUACAUUUGUACUCUGAAUAAUGUGGAAUUUAAACUAGGUGUGGUUACACUUUAGCUAUGAGACAUUGGGCCGGUCACUUAUUCUCUUCAGAGGAUUAAAAGGAUAAAAUAUUUUAAAAAAUAUCUAUCUAUCUAUCUAUCUAUCUAUCUAUCUAUCUAUCUAUAGAUAGAUACACACACACACACACACACACACACAUAGAGUUCUUAUACAAACCCUCAUUAAAUGUAAUCCAAGUUGUAGACCCACAGUACUGAUUUAGGUAGGCAAAAUAUCAAAUUAACAACAACAAAAAAAUACCAGACAUAAAAAAUGUGUCUCAUAUUCUGGACACAUCAUUAUUCUCUGAAAUAUCCACAGACCACUCUAAUCUGAGCACACCCUAGGUGGACCAGGAACACAAGUAAUGUGAAUGACUGCAAUAAUAAAAUGAGUAUGUUAAACUAUCAAUUACUUGGCUUUGAUUCUGUGCUUGAAUUAUAUUCAAUGAGCCUCUGCUGUGUGCCAGACAAUGUUCUGGGCAGCAGCGACACACUGGUGAACAGUCCUUGCCUAUAUGGAGCUUACAUUUUAGAAGGCAAAGACAGACCAAUAAAUAAGUCAGCAAACAAUUCGUCAAUAUAACUUCAAAUAAUAACAAAUACUUUGAAGAAAAUCAACUAGGGUCGUGCCUGAGGGCUUGGGAAUUAAAUGUACUUUAGUUUGGAAACCAGAGAAGUCAUGGCUGAGGGAUUUAUAUCUUCACUGACAACUGAAGACCCAGAAGAAACCAGCAAGGCAAAGGCUGGGAAUCAAUGUCUCCAGCUGUGUCCUUGAGGAAGCAGGAAAUGCAAACGGCUCUAAAGGAAGAAGGAGCUUACUUAUUUGCCAAACAGAAAGAAAGUUGAUGAGAGCAAUGAAACCGCAAAUUAAUUAAGAUCAAGAAAACACUAACACCAAAACUCAAAGGAUGUUGGAAGCUUGAAAGAAGACCUCAAAGACAAUAUUUGGGCAUAUUUUAAGAGCAUCAUCAAUACUCUGUAUGGCACCGAGGAUGACUUAUGGAAAAACAGAGUUAUCAAUGACUUUUUGUUGGAAAUUAUCCAAAAGAGUAAGAUUCUGCAAAGAAGUUUGUGAAUUUAUUUACCAGUUUAUUUUUAUUUCUAUUUUCAUUUUACGAUUGCCUGAGAGUGAUAUUUGAAAAGUGUUAUAUUCAUAUAUGUCUAAAUUUUUCAACAAGUAUCAAAUAAAGAUUCUAAGUUAUAAGAAAGCAUUGUGUCAGUUUAAUUGUAUGAUUUCUUAAAAUUAGCUCCACAUGAAUGAACGGUACAUCUAAAAUUGAUAAUUUGAUAAUUGUCUCAGAUUUGAGGAAAUACUAUCCUCCAUUAUAGACAAAGGCUAGAAGGACCUGGGAAUGGGGAGGGGGACUAUGUAACAGACAAAUAUUCCAAUCUCAGAUGAUUAUUCUUCCACUCUCCUUUUUUCUCUGAGUCUAAGCUCAUCUUUUACUGUCCCUCUGGACUUUAACAGGCACUCUGCUAUUAAUGCUUAAAUGGAGCAUCUACUUAAUUAGAUUACAGCAUUUACAGGACAUAAACCUUUGGGUACAUGUCAAAGACCCUGGACUUUAGGCCACAACCAAUGUAAGUGGAUGAUUUCCCAAUGAUAGCAUAUGCCUAGAAAGGUUUGGCUUUAUUUUCCGUGAGUUCUUAUCUAAUGCAAAAUAAACUUUGAAUUUAUAUUUCUUGAGUUUUCCAGCACACAAUGUUUUGCUUUUAUAACUUCUAUUAUUAAAAGAAGAAUAUUAUACUAUUUGUAAAUGUUUUUGAUGUGCAAAAUUUUAUACCUAUAGGUUGCAAAAUCUGUGCAUUGCACUAGAAAUUUUGCUGAGUUUUCAGCUCUUAGCCACAGCAUUUAAGUAGUACAAUUCAUUUCAUGUUUAACUUUAUUUAAAUAUCAUAGUGAGUAGACCAUUGGUUUUCAGAUUAUUUUAAAUUUCUUUGUAUAAUCUGAGUUGAUUUCCCAUUGUGUCUGCCAAAGUACUCUUCUUUCUUCUUGAGGACAGUGCACAUUUAGAAAUUACCUUUUUGAAACAUCUUGAAAACUGACUCUUCAAAAAUGACUUUCAAUACUUAAGAACAUGACAAAAAUAUAUUUAUAACAUAACUUUUAGUUACAUGUUAUGCCGUAUAUAAAACUAUGUACUUGUGAAUGUUCAAUACCUAUCCCCCUCCCCCCAAAACAGCAACUUGUUUUGUUGCAUUUGCUGAUUUAUAUAGUAUAAAUACUCCCACAUGUCCAGUUUCAAAGUACCAACUUGAUGUCACUGGACAUACAGUUAGGAAGGGUAUCAUUAUAAAGUAUUUUUACAGUAAAGAAGCAAUAAAUGUAAGCAACUACAAAAGCACACAUAAUAGUGAAAUGCAUUAAAAUAAUUGGGAAAUACUAAGUUUUGAGUAUUACUUCGUUUGCUUAUUUUGUAAUUUAUUUAAUUGUAAGUUUAUAUAAUCCAAUUUUUGGCAAUGGCUGUAUUUAACAACUGGUUUCCAAAUUUACAAAUGUACUCUUUUAAGCCUACAUGAACUGGGUGUAGUUCAGCACUCCUGUAUAUAUGAUAUUUGAUAUUGCCUAUUAUAACACAGGUUAAAAAUAGUGAAGCUUAAACUCAUUUGAGACUUCCUCCCUCCCUCUUUUCCUUCCUUCCUUCCUUUCCUUUCCCUCCUUCCUUCCUUCCUUCCCUCCAUCCUUAAGUUCUUACAGAUUUGCUAGACAUGUCAAAAUGAGUAGAAAUCAGUAUGAACAAAUUAAAUUAUAAAGUUACCUAUUUAUGCUAUUGAUAUGGGGACAGACAGAAAUAAGAAGGUUAUACUUUUCCAGGAUUCUAUAAUAUAUAUUUUCUUUAUAUGUCAGGAUAUAUGUACGUAUCCAGUUAUAUAUCUUGAUACAGUUAUUUUUGUUUCUAUGAAACCAUGUUGAAUGCUAUGAAAAGCCUUGAUAAUGGUAAGUUACUAAAAAAGGCUCUCUAGGUAUGAGCAAGAAGGCGAAAGACUGAGAUAAAAAAUACCAGCUGUUAGUUUCUGUAUUCUGAUUGCUUUGCUAGUAUCUUUAUAUUCUUGGACCACUUUAAAGAAAUAAAACCCAACAUUUUAAAUAAUGAAUUUCUGAGG
rnacentral:lncRNA from 10 species